rnacentral:rRNA from 1 species
UACGUAGGGACCAAGCGUUGUCCGGAUUUAUUGGGCGUAAAGAGCUCGUAGGCGGCCCUCCACGCGGAUGUGAAAGCUCAGGGCUCAACCCUGAGAUGCCAUUCGAUACGGGAAGGCUAGAGGUAGGUAGGGGAAAGUGGAAUUCCUGGUGUAGCGGUGAAAUGCGCAGAUAUCAGGAAGAACACCGAUGGCGAAGGCAGCUCUCUGGGACGGUACUGACGGCUGAGACGCGAAAGCGUGGGGAGCGAACAGG